rnacentral:rRNA from 1 species
UCCUACGGGAGGCAGCAGUGAGGAAUAUUGGGCAAUGGAGGCAACUCUGACCCAGCCAUGCCGCGUGAGUGAAGAAGGUUUUCGGAUUGUAAAGCUCUUUCGGAUGUGACGAUGAUGACGGUAGCAUCUAAAGAAGCCCCGGCUAACUUCGUGCCAGCAGCCGCGGUAAUACGAAGGGGGCGAGCGUUGUUCGGAAUUACUGGGCGUAAAGGGUGUGUAGGCGGUUAUGUAAGAUAGCGGUGAAAUCCCGGGGCUUAACCUCGGAAUAGCCGUUAUAACUAUGUAGCUAGAGUUAUGGAGAGGAUAGCGGAAUACCCAGUGUAGAGGUGAAAUUCGUAGAUAUUGGGUAGAACACCGGUGGCGAAGGCGGCUAUCUGGCCAUAUACUGACGCUGAGGCACGAAAGCAUGGGUAUCAAACAGGAUUAGAUACCCUGGUAGUCCAUGCUGUAAACGAUGAAUGCUGGUUGUCGGCUUUAGGGUCGGUGACGAAGUUAACGCGAUAAGCAUUCCGCCUGGGGAGUACGGUCGCAAGAUUAAAACUCAAAGGAAUUGACGGGGACCCGCACAAGCGGUGGAGCAUGUGGUUUAAUUCGAUGCAACGCGAAGAACCUUACCAACUCUUGACAUCCUUAUCGGGGGGCGCAGAGAUGAGCCCUUUCAGUUAGGCUGGAUAAGUGACAGAUGCUGCAUGGUUGUCGUCAGCUCGUGUCGUGAGAUGUUGGGUUAAGUCCCGCAACGAGCGCAACCCCUGCUAUCAGUUGCCAGCGAGUAAAGUUGGGCACUCUGAUAGGACUGCCGGUGACAAGCCGGAGGAAGGUGGGGAUGACGUCAAGUCAUCAUGGCUCUUACGAGUUGGGCUACACACGUGCUACAAUGGUAACUACAGAGGGGAGCGAGACCGCGAGGUUGAGCCAAUCUUAAAAAGUUAUCUCAGUUCGGAUUGUUCUCUGCAACUCGAGAACAUGAAGUUGGAAUCGCUAGUAAUCGCGGAUCAGCAUGCCGCGGUGAAUACGUUCCCGGGUCUUGUACACACCGCCCGUCACGCCAUGGGAGUUGGUUCUGCCUGACGGCGUUGAGGUAACCCGCAAGGGAGCCUGGCGACCACGGUAGGGUCAGCGACUGGGGCGAAGUCGUAACAAGGUAGCCGUAGGGGAACCUGCGGCUG